GCCAGUGUGGUGUAGUGGUUUGAGCACUUUGAACUGUGAUUAUGAAGAUCAGGGUUUGAAUCCUUGCUCAGCCA